UGGGCUUAAGGGCGCGUAGGCGGGCUGUCAAGUCUGGGGUGAAAUCCCGCGGCUCAACCGUGGAACUGCCUUAGAUACUGACGGCCUCGAGGGAGAUAGGGGCGAGCGGAACUGUGAGUGGAGCGGUGAAAUGCGUUGAUAUUCACAGGAACUCCGGUGGCGAAGGCGGCUCGCUGGAUCUUUUCUGACGCUGAGGCGCGAAAGCUAGGGGAGCAAACGGGAUUAGAUACCCCGGUAGUCCUAGCCCUAAACGUUGGGUACUGGGUAGUAGACUAGACAUGGGUUUACUGCCGCAGCAAAAGUGCUAAGUACCCCGCCUGGGGAGUAUGGUCGCAAGGCUGAAACUCAAAGGAAUUGACGGGGGCUCACACAAGCGGUGGAGCAUGUGGCUUAAUUCGAGGCUACGCGAAGAACCUUAUCCUGGACUUGACAUGUGCGAAAGCGUCAGGUGGUAGAAGCCGGAAACGGUAACGAACCUAGCAAUAGGGAGCCUGAUACAGGUGCUGCAUGGCUGUCGUCAGCUCGUAUCGUGAGAUGUCGGGUUAAGUCCCAUAACGAGCGAAACCCUUACCCUUAGUUGCAACCAUUUAGUUGGGCACUCUAGGGGGACUGCCGGUGUUAAACCGGAGGA
rnacentral:rRNA from 1 species